AGGUCCCCAAUGAGUACGUGGGUAAGUCUGGUGUCCACCUGAAGCGUGACUUCUUUCCUGACGCACGGAUCUCAGGCUCGCUCCGAGCUCUUCAUCAACCUGCGCGAGGUGAGCUCUCGCUUCCGCCUGCCCCCGGGCGAGUACAUCGUGGUCCCCUCCACCUACGAACCCAACCGCGAGGGCGACUUCUGCCUGCGCGUCUUCGCCGAGAAGCCGGCGCACACCGAGGAACUGGACGAUGAAAUCUGCGCCGAGCUGCCGGAGGAGGAGAUGAUUCCCGAGCAUGAAAUCGAUGAGAAGUUCAAGAAUCUAUUCCGACAGCUCGCAGGGCCGGAUCUGCAGAUUUCCAUGUCGGACUUCAGACCAUCCUGAACCGUGUAGAGGGGAAACAUCAGGAUCUGAAGACGUCUGGUUUCAGUAUGGAUGCUUGUCGCUGUAUGAUCAACCUCAUGGAUCGAGACGGCGAUGCCCGGCUGGGCCUGACUGAGUUCAAUGUCUUGUGGAACAAAAUCCGCAAAUGGCUGGUGAUUUUCCGUCAGUUUGACCUGGACAAGUCGGGCAGCAUGAACGCCUAUGAGAUGAGGCUGGCGCUGGAGUCUGCAGGUUUCAAGUUGAACAACCAGCUCCACAACCUGCUCAUCACCCGCUACUCCGAGCCCGACCUCUCGAUCAACUUUGACAACUUCAUCUGCUGCAUCAUCCGCCUGGAGACCAUGUACCGUGAG